CUCACACACUCAUGCGGAUGGUCUGUAGGAGCAAAGGGGAUGCUGACAAUUUUUUUAAUGCAUGUGCAAAAUGGUGCAAACAUGCCCCAAUUGUCCCAGUGAGGAGUGACUGAGACUCGCUGUCUGGCUGGAUUGCUUUCUCUCCAGACUGCUUUUGCUUGCUGCCUUUUGGCUGAUUUUUUAUUUUUUUUGGGACCCUGCAAAGUGAUACUAUGGCUUGUGGAGACUGCCUGUGGUGCUAUGGAUUGUCACUAUUCCUGAUCAUAACCAUCUCUGGUCUAGGUCACUCUGUUGAACUGGCAUUUACAGAAGAGCCCAUUGAUGAAGUAGCAGUGCCAGGGCAGCCCCUGACUCUGCUGUGCUCUGCAGAUGGUGUCCAGCCAAUUACUAUUAUGUGGAGGAAGAAUGGGGCUCCCCUGUGGAAUGAGGCCAAUGUGUUUCCACUUCCCAAUAGCUCCCUCUAUAUCCCUUUCUUCCAAGUCCAUAAGGAAGAUGGGUCAUCUGACCAGGGUGAAUAUGACUGCGUGGCCCAAAACCGUUUUGGCACUGUGGUGAGUCGCAAGGCAAGAGUGCAGGCAGCAGCUAUAUCAGACUUUCACAUCUUUCCCCAUGAUGCAACCUUAGAAGAGGGCGAUGUGGCAAGGUUCCAAUGUCAGAUCCAUGGUCUGCCAGAGCCAGAUAUUGUAUGGGAGCGGAGUGGUGAAAUAAUUGAUACAGAAAACCCAAGAUAUACCUUGCUUCCCACUGGUGUCCUACAGAUAACCGCACUCCAGGCCGAUGAUGCAGGAACGUUCCGUUGUGUGGCUUCCAAUGCAGCUGGUGUUAAAUACAGCCCUGAAGCUGUGCUAACAGUGACAGGGCCUCACUACACUGGAUAUAAGGACCCAAUGAUCUUAGUUGGUCCAGAGAACCUCACAAAGACCAUUCACCAGACAGCAAUCCUUGAGUGUAUGGCUACCGGAAAUCCUCGGCCUAUUGUGUCCUGGAGUCGGCUAGAUGGCCGUCCUAUUGGUGUGGAAGGAAUUCAAGUUUUAGGGACAGGAAAUUUGAUGAUAUCAGACCUGACCGUGCAUCACUCUGGAGUCUAUGUAUGUGCUGCCAACAAACCAGGAACCAGGGUGCGCCGGACAGCACAGGGGAGGCUUGUUGUACAGGCCCCUGCUGAGUUUGUCCAACAUCCACAGUCCAUUACCCGUCCUGUUGGCACUACAGCGAUUUUUACAUGUUUGGCCCAAGGGGAACCACCACCACAAAUCACAUGGCUGAAGAAUGGACGAGAGCUGGAACCCAGAGGGCACAUCAAGCUGAAAAACAAUAACAGCUCUCUGACCAUUUCUGGCAUUAGUCAGGAGGAUGAGGCUAUAUAUCAGUGCAUAGCACAGAACACUGCAGGUUCCAGCCAGGCUAGUGCUCGACUUUCUGUAAUAUGGGCAGAAGGACUACCGGGUGCACCGCAAGACAUCACCGCCACCACUAUAUCAUCGACUUCCAUUCAGGUAUCGUGGAAAGAGCCGCUAGAAAACACGCAAGAGAUCAUUGGAUAUGUGAUCCACAUCCGCAAAACUGAAGACCCUGUCCAAAUGGAGUACCAAGAAGCUGUGAGUAAGGAUACUUUUCAGCAAACGUUGACAGAUCUAGAACCAUCAACCAGCUAUGUCUUCUACAUAAAAGCAUAUACUUCUAGAGGAGCAAGCAAAGCAUCUGCUAGUGUGGUGCAAAGCACUCUGGGAGAAGUACCAGCUGUGCCUUCUCUCUAUAUCAAGGUCCUGAACAGUACAGCCAUACAGGCAGCCUGGGAGCCUUCAAUAAAACUUGGCCAAAAUGAAGGUUUUAAGCUCUAUUACCGUAAGGUGCCUCUGCCACACUACACUGGGCCCAUGCUGCUUCCGAGCAAUGUUACAGCUUACAACAUCUGCUGGCUUGACCCCCUAGUAGUGUACGAGGUGAAGCUGCUGGCCUUCAAUCAGCAUGGAGAUGGAAAUUCCACAGUUCGGUUUGUGUCACUGAAAGAAGUGUCUCCCCGUGCUGUGCUAAAUCCAUCCUGCAAUUGUGUAGGUGAUGAACAGAGAGCGAAGUCAUCUACAACCGGAAUCAUCAUCGGAAUACAUAUUGGCGUGACCUGUAUCAUUUUCUGUGUCCUCUUCCUCAUGUUUGGAUACCGUGGGAGGCUGAUGAAGUGUAAGGCAUCUCAAGACCAAAUGUCAGAUCCACAAGUUGCUGGUGGUGCUAAUGGCCGAAUUUCACACCGAAGUGCUCAAAAUGGUGCUACACUGAUGGACAGUAAUGUUUCAGAACUGAAAGGCAAAGUCAGCGAUCUCAAUGAAAUGGAGCGUCUAUUUCCUCACUCAUCACGUCAUCGAUCAGAGUCUGCUCCCUCGCACUCUUUGGAUGUUACUCUGGUGUCAGCCAUCAUUCCAGAUGAAAUCAGUUUUGCGGAAGAGGACCCCCCAUUAUCUCAGGCAAUCAACCAUCCACCUGCAGCCAAUGACUGAGCCCUCUAACUUCCUCUAAAACUGAACUGAACCCCUUGCUGCUCCUUUCAGCUGUGUUGGGAGUUUUCUAUACAUCUCAGGUCUCCAUGUUCCAAACCCUGUGAUUCUCCUGUCCCCUUUUGAUAGAGUUUUGUACUUUUUUAUUAUUAUGUGAGAACGUUGGCACUUAUAGACUGUUACUCUCCAGAGACUGUGGGCAGCCAUCUUUUUUCACUCACAACACAUGGAAUUUGCCCUUUGGAUGCCGGACUGAUACAUUUUAUAGGGAAAUUUACUCCAUUCACAUCACUACCCACUGACAUUUUCUAACCUUCUGUUAUUGUUAUUAUUAUUAUGCCAGAUGAUUGUUAAGGUGCUCAGGGCUAUCCUGUGAAAGCCUGCUGCUCCGGUAGCCUGCUCGGAAUUUUUUUUCAUUAAGGUUUUGUUUUUAUUUGUCUGCUGAUGAGUCGAUACAAACGGUAUCGAGGAGUCUGUACAGAGGUCAAUCUCCGAACCUACCUCAACCGGGAUGAAUGUUUUCAAAUACGAUGUUUCCUAUUCUGUCUGUGAUAUUUGAUUCACUCAUGCAUGACUACUGCAGACACAAGCUCCCUAUGGAUUACAAUUUAGGGGUGUAAUGUGUGCAUUUUAGUGACAAUAUUGCACAAUUCUAAGGAGUGGAGCCAGCUAAGGAGGAUGUGUGGUACACAGAGAUAAAACACGAGUAACAUGUGGAUUUACAGUUUUGUAGGACUAGCAUCAAGUCACGUUUCCAAAACAUUCCAUUUCUCUAAAAUGUGGAGGAAAAAGCACAUUGAAGUAGAUAUAAAAUCUGUGGGGAAAAACAUUAUUUUGUUUUUGUAUACAUUUUCCUACAGUUUGGUCCACAAAAACUGGUCUUGGGGACUUUUAGGCCAUGUUCACACUACGGAAUUCUCACUGAAUUCCAUGAGCGGAACUCCGCGGUGUGAAUUUAACAUUAGUGUGAAUGGGUCUCCGCGAGACCCGUUCACACAGCGGAAUUUCCGCGGCGGACAAUUCCAUUGUGCGGAUUCCGCGAGCACUGCAUAGCCGUCAAUGGUGACGGCUCAAUGCCCCGCGGCCCUAGCGCCGAAGCACCUUCGGCGGCAGCCACCAGGCGGAAUCUCCGCUCGCGGAAUUCAGCGAGCGGAGAUUCCGUAGUGUGAACGCACCCUUAUGCUACAUAUAUAUAAUACUUUCACAUCACAUCCAUAUAGCAGCCUAUAUAGACACAGGUAUGCAACCAAAUACCUCAUUAAUUUGGAAAAGCUAUAGAAACCCUUGUGACUUUCCCUCCAACCGCCGGUGCAUUGGUCAAGUGGGUGGGGCUUAGCCAGUGGGGCGUGGAUUUGUGUGAAGGGGCUGUGGGUGUCCUAUUGCCCAGUAACCAUGUUAUGCCAUCUAGAGCUGUGGUCCGCAGGUUGAAGACCACUGAUCUAGUGUGUACUACAAACCUAUUUAGAAUUGACAAAAUGUUUCUUGAAGAACAAGAGGAUUACACAUGAGGUUUCUGUAUAUUUGUCCUACAGAAGUAGAGGAAGAGUGGUGCAGUUGCCCAUAGCAACCAAUCAGCUUUCUUUUUUCAUUUUUAAAAAGGCCUGUGAAAAAUGAAAGAAGCGAUCUGAUUGGUUGCUAUGGGCAACUGCCCCACUCUUCCUCUACACAGGUUUUGAUAAAUCUCCCCCAAUGGGAAUUUGAAUAAGUUUUUUCCACUUCAAUUUUAUGGUGCUUUUAUAGUAUUCUGUAUUAUUGUAGCAUGCAUCAUAUAUACAUAUAUAAGAACUAUAUUUAAAAAGAACAUGCACAAACUACAUCUAUGGACCUAACAAUAAAUAAAAUGUCAGGCAGUUUUUCAUAUUUAUAGUGAAGUAACGAGCCCCACACAUUCCUCCUUAUAUGGCUCCUCAUACCUGAUGUUGUUCUGAGGUAAAUUUCCCUUUCUUUUAUUAUCUAGUCCAGCGUGAUGCACUUCCAAACUUUGUACACAAACUUCUACCUCAUUUUUUUUUAUUUUAAUUUUUUGUCUUUGUAGAAUUUGAAAUGUGGGCUUUUCCGGUUUUGUUCUGGAAGCGCGUGAGGCUUUCCGGAAGAAAACCAUCCUUCGUGUGACUGUGACUUGGGUUAUUACUUGUUCUUCUUUGUCUUUAGCACUGAGAUAAAGGGGAAGUAUUGCUGAUAUGAAAAUAAGAAGUAUGGAAGGAAAUUGAAAUCAGUAGACCUCAAUUUGUUUAAAGGCGGAUGCAAACUUAAAGGGUUACUCAACUGGAAAGAGAUGGUAGUCUUCAUACUUUGGUUGUAACAAGUGGUUAUUUGAUUUACUGCUGCCCAUCAUCUCAAACCAGUUUACCCAUUCUCUUCUGAUAGCAAUAAGGCAUUUUAAUCCACACAAUUUAAAGGGGUAGUCUGGUAAAAACUAUUUUUUUUAAAUCAACUGGUGCCAGAAAGUUAUACAGA